rnacentral:rRNA from 1 species
UAUAAAAAAAUAGGCUCUGCUCCAUGAUUUAAAUAGCCGCAGUAUUUUGACUGUGCUAAGGUAGCAAAAUAAUUUGUCUUUUAAUUGAAGGCUAGAAUGAAAGAGUUGACGACGCUCAGCCUUUCUUAACUUAUUAAAGGGAAUUUGAUAUUUGCCUUAAAAAGUGCAACUUACUGAAGGGACGAUAAGACCCUGUGAAACUUUAAUUUAUUUGGCUUUAACACACUUAGGAGAUUUUAAGGCUUGUUAAAUUAAGCUGGGGCGGCAGUUAGAAUGCACUAAUAGAAGUAACAAGAUUAUUGAGUGUAAGGAUCUCGGGAAGAGAUAGAGUAAGUUACUUUAGGGAUAACAGCACAAUUUUUUUAUAUAGGCCGUAUAGAAUAAAAAGACUUGUGACCUCGAUGUUGAAUUGGGGGGCCCCGCUAGAGUAGAAAUUAGUGUGGGAGGUCUGUUCGACCUUUAUACCCCC